rnacentral:rRNA from 1 species
AUUGAACGCUGGCGGCAGGCCUAACACAUGCAAGUCGAGCGAUCGGCGGACGGGUGAGUAAUGUCAGGGAAACUGCCUGCUGGAGGGGGAUAACCACUGGAAACGGUAGCUAAUACCACAUAUCAUCCGAUCUGCCCAGAUGGGGUAAGCUGGUGGGUGGGGUAACGGCUCACCUAGGCGACGAUCCCUAGCUGGGUUGAGAGGAUGACCAGCCACACGGGAACUGGGACAUGGCCCAGACUCCUCCGGGGGGCAGCAGUGGGGAAUUUUGGACAAUGGGGGAAAGCCUGAUGCAGCCAUCCCGCGUGUGUGAAGAAGGCCUUCGGGUUGUAAAGCACGUUAAGCGGGAAGGCGUUACCUGCAGAAGAAGCACCGGCUAACUCCGUGCCAGCCGCCGCGGUAAUAC